GCAAGAAGCAAAUGUAUAUUUGUAUCCUCCAUGCUUCACAAGGCAUUAGAGUAUAUUGAAUUUAGUUGAGUGUGCUUGAUAAGAAUAGAAUAGAAAGGGGAUGGGGUGAGGACCAAGGGUGCAGGGCACAGCCCAGGCAGGACCUUGGUGAGGAGCGUGGUGAGUCAUGAGCUCUCCAGACACAGACAACCAAUAGAAUUUUGAGCAAGACAAUGGCACUGACUACUAUGCAGAGAAGAGACACUAAAUGUGUGGAGGAGAAGACUGAACUGCUGAAUGAGGAAAGUAAAAGGCUGAUAGGAGCUUGCACUAAGGAAGGAGUUAUGCAAGAAAUGCCCACUUCACUGGGAACUAAGAAUGGACUCCUUCGUCUACCCACCCAUCCACCCAUCCACCCAUCCAUCCAUCUGGAGUCUGUUUGCUCAGCACUCACCACGAAAAUCUGCGCUGUGUCAGAUGCAGGAAAUCCAAACAUGACCUGGUCAUUAGCCUCGCUUUCAGGGAGCUGGUGUCCAGAGGCAGAGAGAGCCAUAUAUAAAUACACAGUGUCCAUGGAACGAGAGGUGAGAGUCUAG
rnacentral:lncRNA from 1 species